UGACCUGUCCUCGCGUGCUUUUGUUUGGUUUGUGAUCUUGUCUCUUGGGAAAUGCGUUUGGAAGGAUGAGAGAUUCCACUUCUCUCCAGGAAACAGUUCUGCCUGACUUCUUCAAGGCCAGCGUGUCCAGAGUUUGCUCUCAGUUUGGGGGAACUAACUCACCGAGAUUGGACACGAAGGGUUUUCCCCAGAAGCUCUGGUUCAAGUUACCCUGCUGGGAACCAGAGAUAAUGCCCAGGGAACCAACCUUAAACAAGGAAAGCAGAAGUUUUUUAAAGAGACAGUCAAUGCCGCUCCACUCUCAGGACAGUGCGCCCGCCUUCAAGCUCGGGAAGCUCUACCAAGCAAAGCAACACUACUGUACAGCAAUUCAGCUGCAACAAUAGGAACACCAGAAACAUACUCAGCUAUUUCAUUUGAAACAGUCUUUCCAAAAAAAGCAUAACAAGGUGAUAGUUCUUCAAUAAAACGGUUGUAUCACCACCUACUUCCCAGUGCAGGGAUCCACCACUCCUCAAUGCAGAGUAAAUAACACUCAAGCAUUGACAACAGCUCACAGGACCCCUUCCAGUGCUCUAACCCCAGGGAUACCUCCAGGUAGGUCCUUUUACAAAGACAAAGUUCUCUCUCCCCUACAGUCCAGUGUUUCAAUCCCACUUAUUGCUACACAUCUUCCACACAGGAUCUCCAACUCCACUGUCUCAUGGCUGCCACACUCAAGACCGCCCCUGGUCUUCACAUCCCUAACUGGACCUUCCUCAACAGGGAGAAUAACCUCCAGCAGCACCCCUCUCCCCAUUGGCUCCUCCAUCACUUUCAUGAGAAAUUUUAUCUUCAGUACAUUGCUGGAAUCUCCUGGAGUGAGCUUGCCCAGCAGUGUCGCUUUCCUCACAGCUGGCAGGCUGGUUCCAGUCCACCCUGAGAACUCACACCCACAGCUGUGAGGCUACUUUCAGCUGGGUGCAGAAGGUCUUAUCAACUGCCUCAUCCUGGUCUGUAACAAGCACCCCCAAUAAAGUUACCCACAUUUACCUGCUGCUUGAGCCUCA